CAGAGAGUAGUUUUAAUGUAAAAUCCUGGCUUUGGGAGCCAGGGAUGUAGGUUAAAAUCCUCCCUCUUUGA
rnacentral:tRNA from 1 species